rnacentral:lncRNA from 1 species
UUGUACUAUUUCAUUUGAUAAACAUAAAAUAGUACAACACAACAUGUAUUGUUAUAUCAUCUCCACGUCCUGUCCUCCUCUUCCUCCUCCUCAUCUUUCUCGUCCUCCUCCUCCUCUUCCAUCACCAUUAGUUACUACAAAAGAUUCCACAUGUAGCAUCACCACGUUCAGUUGCUUCAUCACCACCACCAUCUUCUCCUUCUCCACUAUCUCCACCUGUAGUCUCCUUACCUCUUCCCAAAAUAUCUUCUUCUCCUCUUCCACCUUUCGUGGUAAUUCUUCUCC